rnacentral:rRNA from 1 species
AUUGUCGACCGUGGUUCCGGGCCAAGUCCCUUGGAAAAGGGCAGCUGAGAGGGUGAAACUCCCGUUCUUGCCUGGGAUUUGCGUGUCAUGGCACGUGUUCUCAAAGAGUCGAGUUGCUUGGGAUUGCAGCUCAAAGUGGGUGGUAAAUUCCAUCUAAAGCUAAAUAUUGGUGGGAGACCGAUAGCGCACAAGUACCGUGAGGGAAAGAUGCAAAGAACUUUGAAAAGAGAGUUAAAGAGUACCUGAAAUUGCUGAAAGGGAAGACAUUGAACUUUGUGUGUGACGUUAAACUUGGGAUGGUUGUACACAACUGUCUGCGGUUUAUAUGUUUCCAGUUUACGUGGUUUUAAUUUGAAGUAAAUGGUUUGAUUGGUAGGUAGGUAUAAUUUCGGUUAUACUGUUUAACCUUUCUUAUCCUACUUUGAAUUGGAAUGAGGACCCAAUCUUGUUUGCAUUUAGCCUUAACUGGACUCGCAACAACAUGGACGUAAACAAAAAAGGUUUAAUGGCCCCGUCUUGUAACACGGACCAAGGAGUCUAGCGUAUGCGCGAGUAUUUGGGUGGUAAACCCAUAUGCGAAAUGAAAGUAAAGUUACCGUAAGGUAAUGAGGUGGGACUGUUUUUUAAUAAAGAACAUGCACCAUCGACCGAUCAUGAGCUUCGGCGUAAAGAUUUGAGUUUGAGCGCAGGUGCUGGGACCCGAAAGAUGGUGAACUAUGCCUGAAUAGGUUGAAGUCAGACGAAAGUCUGAUGGAGG